rnacentral:rRNA from 1 species
AGUCGACGAUGAUCCCAGCUUGCUGGGGGAUUAGUGGCGAACGGGUGAGUAACACGCUGAUUAACCUGCCCUUGACUCUGGGAUAAGCCUGGGAAACUGGGUCUAAUACCGGAUACGACCAUCUGGCGCAUGUCAUGGUGGUGGAAAGCUUUUGUGGUUUUGGAUGGACUCGCGGCCUAUCAGCUUGUUGGUGGGGUAAUGGCCUACCAAGGCGACGACGGGUAGCCGGCCUGAGAGGGUGACCGGCCACACUGGGACUGAGACACGGCCCAGACUCCUACGGGAGGCAGCAGUGGGGAAUAUUGCACAAUGGGCGCAAGCCUGAUGCAGCGACGCCGCGUGAGGGAUGACGGCCUUCGGGUUGUAAACCUCUUUCAGUAGGGAAGAAGCGAAAGUGACGGUACCUGCAGAAGAAGCGCCGGCUAACUACGUGCCAGCAGCCGCGGUAAUACGUAGGGCGCAAGCGUUAUCCGGAAUUAUUGGGCGUAAAGAGCUCGUAG